AGUGAACGCUGGCGGUAUGCCUAACACAUGCAAGUCGAACGGCAGCACAGGAUAGCUUUCUCUCUUGGUUGCGAGUGGCGGGCGGGUGUGGAAUACAUCGGAAUCUGCCCAGUCGGGGGGGAUAACGUAGGGAAACUUACGCUAAUACCGCAUACGACCUUCGGGUGAAAGAGGGGGAUCGCAAGACCUCUCGCGAUUGGAUGAGCCGAUGUCGGAUUAGCUUGUUGGCGGGGUAAUGGCCCACCAAGGCGACGAUCCGUAGCUGGCCUGAGAGGAUGAUCAGCCACACUGGAACUGAGACACGGUCCAGACUCCUACGGGAGGCAGCAGUGGGGAAUAUUGGACAAUGGGCGAAAGCCUGAUCCAGCCAUACCGCGUGGGUGAAGAAGGCCUUCGGGUUGUAAAGCCCUUUUGUUGGGAAAGAAAUCUUUCAGGCUAAUACCCUGGGAGGAUGACGGUACCCAAAGAAUAAGCACCGGCUAACUUCGUG
rnacentral:rRNA from 1 species